UACGAAAUUAUUAUUAUUUUUUUUAAAAAAAAUAGGUAGCGUUCUACUAGCUUCAUUUAUUUUAUUUAUAAAUAAAUUUAAUUUAAAAUGUGAAUCAAUUAGGAUUCGAAUUUGGGUCUCAGGUGCCAACCACCAAGCCCAAGGACAGCCAGUCUCCUUACGAAAUUAUUAGCUGGACUGAGCAGGGAUUUAGGUGGGAUUGCAGUAGGAUUACAUUAUGGGUGCGUUUGGUUCGCAUUAUGAAAGAUUACUAGGAAUAAAAGAUAUCCGAGAAUCUUAUUCCUAUUCAUCCUAUUACUAAGAAUGUGGAAUUCCUGUGUUUGGUUCGCACGGUAAUAUUAAUUAGUCAUAUUAUUUAAUAUUACAAAAAAUAUACAAUUUAUUUAUUUAUUUAUUUAUUUUUAAAUAAUGUUACCAAAAGUUUAAACAUUUUUUUAGAAAAGAGAGAGAGAGUAUAAGUUAGAGAGAGAGAUAGCAUAAUUAAAAAAAUAGAAAGAAAAAUAUAGUCGAAAUUAGAGGGAGUGAGAGAGUUGAAAUUUUAGAAAGAGAGAGAGAGAAAGCUUAGUUUAGAGAGAGAAAAAAAAGUUUAGAGAGAGAUAUAAGGUUAGAGUGUAAAGAAAAAUAAUAUCAAUUAGCCGGCGGGUAUGAAGAAAGAAAAAGAUUAGACAUAUUAUGAUUACCCCAAUCCAUUAAUAUGAGGAUACCCACCCCCCUCAAAGGAAUGAGAUUAGUACUUUGGGGUGAAUCUUAUUCCCAAGUGAAUCCAAUAUUACCAAAUAGAUUACUUAGUGCGUUUAGCCAAACACCGUCAUAUUUUUUUAUUCCCAUUGAAUUACUAGUAAUCUUUAAAAGAUAGCGCAAACCAAACGCACCCUAUGUGUAGUGAGAAACGACGAUAAAAAAAUAUUAUAUUUAUUUUCGUACGUAAUAUUAUUUUUUUGUAUAUUACGGUUAGUCGAUUACGAUAUAUUUUUUGCGAUUUUAUUGAAGAACAUAAAAAUAUAUCUUUAUAUAUUUUUUUUCAAUUUUAUUCUAUCUAAUAGUGUUAGAUAAAUCUCAAUAUCAAAACUUAACUUAUUUUUAAGCUAUUUUUAUUUA
rnacentral:lncRNA from 1 species